GGCAGCCAAAUGGAGAAAUGAGCAGUCAUCAUUGCUGUCGAAGUUGAACUGCAGCCCACGACAUCAUCUUGGACAGCACAAAUUUUCAGAAGAAUAACCCUGUUCAUAAACUGACUGAAGAGGAACUGUUGGCAUUCACCUCUUAUAUACUGUCUCAGCCGAAGUUCUGGGCCAUUCAGGUGACCACCCUAAUGUUGAGAACAAAACUAGAGAAAGGUAGCCCUCGUCGGAUUGAACGUGCAAUGAUGCAGACAC